GUGUGGCAAUGGUAUUAUAGUUGUACUGGUGCCUUCCACCACUUCCUAAUAUCAUGUGUAAAAUUGCUAGGAUUUUAUUUACGCUACCGUUGCUAAGAAGAGGUGCUACGUCAUACCAAUGUUUUGGUUUCGUUUUCUUGCAGUGUUAUAGUGUAAUUUAAUGGCAUCGAUUCAGUAAUUCGGUUAUAAUUCUAUGAAAACGUGAAGAGAUUAGAAAAUGUUGAGGUGUGCAGUCUUCAUUAGUGGUACUAAUGACUAUCGUGCUGGAGAAAUACUAGUUUGAGCUGCUUUAUAAAGGAACAGGUGUCGCAAAGGAAGUGGAUGAAGUUGGCAACUGUCAAAACGGAUACGGUUAUGUAUAGAUUAAAUUAUUUCCAGCAGCAAAAUUUGAUCUAUGUUGAAGAUACUAGAAGUAAACAUUGAAACAGUACCGCUACCUGAUGAACUCAUCGAGCAACUCAUUAAGAUCAAAACACUGGUGAGAGAUUAUUUGAAACGCAAGAGGACAGUCCAGCAUUAUAAUUCAUGCCACAGGGAAAACAGGGAAAACAAAUAACAGAAUCGGAUUCGGAUUUCAUACCGGAGUUUUCUGCCAUUUCCAGUUUAAUAUGAUCCGUGGCUUAUUGCAGAGCUCCCACUAUUUUUUUUUUUUUUUUUUU